rnacentral:lncRNA from 1 species
UCAAUAAUAAAUAGCUACACAAAUUUGGGAGAUUGUUUGAAAUUAAAGCUCGUUGAAUUUCAAAUGAACCAUAUAAGUAUCCCCACUCCCCACCAACCACCUAUACCUACUACCAAUUUCCCAACCAAAGUAGAAGAUGGUGUCUCUAAAGCUUAUCGUGUUUUCUGCUCUUCUAGUUAUGAUUAUGUUGUUUUACCAUUCCAUUGCACAAGUUUAUGGUACUCCUUCAUCUUCCUUUUCUCAUUCUUCAUGUUUUUAGUUCAUUAUAAUUAUUAAGGGAUAUAAAUCCCACAUUUACCUAACAUGUCAAAUUAUAGUAGUUUAUAUAUUUAUUGAAUUAUUCUUCUCAACCCUAUAUAUUUUGCGCAAGAAUUUAACAUGAUAUCAGAGCUAAUUUUUAUCUCAUAGUUUGACCUUAUUUACUCAUUAAAUGUUAUAUCGGCUAAAUAUAAAGAUCUAUAUUAGUUUAUAUAUAUGUUGGACAUCUCUUACUAAUAACAUUUUCUUUUGGGUAAAGAUCUAACAAUAAUUAUAUGUUGAUGUAGAAACCGAUCUGUGUAACUUUGAUGAGGACGAUGAAGUUGUUUUGUCACAUAAAGAGGUAAAGGCUAAUGGUGGUUGCCAUUUUGGUGGCUCAUGCACAGUGUAGCUGAUGUCCAACUACAUGUGCUGCUACUUUGGGGUUACACCUUGGCUCUGUCUCAUGUGUACCAGAUCUUGGUGGUGGGAAUCACUGUUGUUGUAUGCAGUAAUAAGGAAAUUUCAAUUUUUUAAAAAAUAAAUCUUUUUUUUUCUCUUUGGGCCCAUAUCAAGAACUUCAAUUUCAAGUAGUAAAGAGAAUGGUUAACUUGAUUGUUGAG